rnacentral:lncRNA from 1 species
AUGAAGCUGACAGUAGCUCAAGAAGAACACACAGACAGCCUAUUCGGAGAUCACCACCAUGAGACAGAACCAAGUCCAGUCAAGAGAAAUGAGGGAUCCUUCCUACCACCACCACCAGGCAAGGGGCAGUUCCAUAUUUCUACCUCCCUGAUCCUUCUUCCUUGUCCCCAGAUCCAGACUUUAAAAAGGAAAGGGAAAAAGUAUCACAAGGAUGGACAAUGCUAUUACAAGUCCUGGAGUUGCCAUCCAGCCCAUGAUGGAGAUGGAUUUAAGGGAUCUCAGGAUCUCACUCAGGGGAUACGAACUCUCAGGUCAGCACCUUUCUCUUCUUAUGGAGACAUCUAAAUUACAACCAGAGGUAAAUAAAUACCAACUGAGAGUGUACAUUACUACCCUGCUUUCUCAUCUUUCCUAGAAACAGAUUCACUCUAUAUAUUAUGCCCAGAAUACCAACCUGCUGGAAGGUGGGGACCUGAUAAUGAAUGUAGAAAUACACGUCCUCCACCUUGGUCAUGGGAUUCUGGAGAACAAAUUUGGAGGGUGUCAUAAAGGUUCUCCUGACACAUUCUUUUAAGUUCUUUCAAGUGGGAAAAUGCUGUAUUUUCUCAGGUUUACUAGGAAAAGAAGUCGGGGGUGGGGGGGUAGGCAGCAGAAUUUUUUCCAAUAUAUAUAUAUAUUAUGACUAACAAGAAUUUCUAUUUUUUCCCCCUCUGUCCCUUUCUGGAUUUGUUGCUGACCCUAAAACUUGGGUACUCCAAAGAAUGCCUGCAAGCCCAGAAAUGGUAUGGGACAUUUCAGCAUGAAUCAGUAACAACACUUGACAGUGGGUUUGGCAGCCACAUAUGAAAUGUUUCCCCACACAUCAGAGUAGCAUUCACCCACUGGGACUGCAUUCAGAACCUAACAAGGGAUGAUACCACGAUCCUGACACCGAUUUCAUUCUGUGUGUUUUGCAACACCAAGCAAUUUUCUGGCACCAGCUAGGAGUCCUAGAAUUCCACUCAGUUCUGACACUACCUGGAGAUACUGUCUCAUAUCACAUGCCAAGGGCUCAGUCCCAUAAGACUGCCUCUUGCACACACUUCAGAUGACAAUUGCAA